GAGAGCAGGCAGCAUAAAGGACUGAGGAUAAUAUGAAUAACGGUGAUGGAUCUAGUUGUAAAAUGGUCAGGUAGUGGUAGGAGCAUUUAUUCUUUGAGCUGUACAAGAGGAGGAGCAGGACUCAGAUCUUGGCAGGAAGUCCAGAUUACAGAGAGUGAAGGACUAAUGAAAGAUCUGAGUCGACAUGGAAGAUGGAAGAUGGAAGAGAUAGAGCUGUCCUCUGAAGAUGCUUGGUUCUUGAGCUACCUUAGAUCAAGAAAUGGAAGCAAAAUCUUUUGCUUAUUUGGUUCAAGCACAGAAGCAGGAAUAUUUAAAAGAACAUGAGGAGGAAGCAGUUGUAAUGCAGAGAUGUCUGUGUGAGAUACCUGAGCAAAAGCAAUCAGUUUGGCUCUACCACUGCACUGCUCCACGUGGCUGGAAUUAUUCUGCUGAAAAACAAGGGUGUUUGCCUGCUAAGGAGUCUUUGUUGCCUUGCUCAGUGAAAUGAGGAAUUACAAUGUUAGACUUGGCUGAGAAUGGGAAUAAGUAAUAGAAGAGCUUUCCCUAUCCCUGUCCCACCUGGAUCAUGCACCUGUGUUUAAAACUGAACAUCGGCCCUUCUUUCAGAAUAUAUCCCAAACAAACAUCCGUGAAACAGAAAAAGGCUACAACCAAGGCAGAGAACCGAACCCACAGGCAAUAGUAAUUACUGCCCUUCCAAGAAGAACUAAGAGAAAAGUCGCAGCUACCCCAGAGCUGCCCCUGGCAUGGCAUACUUCUACACAGCACCUUUCAUCUCACCAGGCUGAUGCAGAGAUUUCAUGGUAAAUUCUUAGGCUUUGCUAAUCAGACAAGCUUGUCCAGGCACAUAGAGCUGUGCGUACAACCUCCAUCUGCAAGAAAAACAUCAUGUCUUCAGGCUGAUAAGAUGUGGAUUGCUAUUCUAUUUGCUUGGGGUUCAUCUCCCACCAAAACCCAUGUUGAUUCUCAGUUGAUUGUAAGUUCAAGCGCUUCAUUGCAAAUGUUAAUCUUGCAGGCAGAUAGCUGGAGUCCUAUGCACGUUCUUCUUUUCUUUAUUUUUUUAUUUUUUGGCUCUUUUUUUGGGGGGGUAGAGGUAUGGGAAAGAUUAAUUAAGAAAGCAGAUUACAUUGGUCUGGUUUAUUUGCUCUUCUUCCUUCUCUAAAUAGGAGUGAACUUUGGCAGGGUUAGUUUUCUUGUUCCCUUCCACUAGAGGUAACAAAAUGUAAUUUUCUUUCACAAGGGCAACUUAGAAGAAAUUUACCCUCUGCUCUUGAGGCUGAGAUAGCAACAACGCUGCCUCAUUCAAGUGGCUACCAGUCAUUAUGAAAUGCAUGAAUAAGCAGAAACAAUUAAUUCACUGAGGCUGGACGAAAAUAUUUUUUGGGUGAUAGUGUAAUGUAAAUCAUUGUUUUACACAUUCCCUUUCAGUGAUUUAAUUCAUGCCUUUCUGACCCCCGCUGUGUUAUGAUUCAUAGAUUAGUGCUCAUGUGUGUAAUUUAACAAAGCUGAAUAACAAACAGCAAGGAGACUUAAACAAAUCAUUGCAUCUGAUGUUUUUACGAUAAAUUAGGAAAACAUCAUUAGUACCAUGCAGAAUGAUUAUGCUGCUGCAAUUUCUACAUAAGUACCUGUCAGGAAAAAAAGAAAAAUACACAAAACAUUGCAUAACAAGCAGUAAACCAGAUGUAGAGAUCCAAAACAAUGGCAGGCAAUAAUCCAUGUACUGUACUGUACCUGUAUUCCAAUAGACAAGCAUCUGUUUUUCUUGAAGUGGUCCUUCUUCCUAUCUUCUACUGCAACGGUGGCAAUGGUUGUGG